CUACGGGCGGCACCAGUGGGGAAUAUUGGACAAUGGGGGAAACCCUGAUCCAGCAAUGCCGCGUGUGUGAAGAAGGCCUGCGGGUUGUAAAGCACUUUCGGUUGGGAGGACUGCUUCUAGCACUAAUAUUGUUGGAAGUUGACGUUACCUUCAGAAGAAGCACCGGCUAACUCCGUGCCAGCAGCCGCGGUAAUACGGGGGGUGCAAGCGUUAAUCGGAAUUACGGGGCGUAAAGCGCGCGUAGGUGGUUAGAUCAGUUGGGUGUGAAAGCCCCGGGCUCAACCUGGGAAUUGCAUCCAAUACUGUCUGGCUAGAGUAUGGUAGAGGGAAGUGGAAUUCCGCAUGUAGCGGUGAAAUGCGUAGAUAUGUGGAGGAACACCAAUGGCGAAGGCAGCUCUCUGGCCUGAUACUGACGCUGAGGUGCGAAAGCGUGGGGAGCAAACAGGAUUAGAUACCCGUGUAGUC
rnacentral:rRNA from 1 species